AGAGUUUGAUCCUGGCUCAGGAUGAACGUUAGCUACAGGCUUAACACAUGCAAGUCGAGGGGAAACGGACAUCGAAAGCUUGCUUUUGAUGGGCGUCGACCGGCGCACGGGUGAGUAACGCGUAUCCAACCUGCCCACCACUUGGGGAGUAACCUUGCGAAAGUAAGACUAAUACCCAAUGACGUCUCUAGAAGACCAUCUGAAAAGAGAUUAAAAGAUUUAUCGGUGAUGGAUGGGGAUGCGUCUGAUUAGCUUGUUGCGGGGUAACGGCCCACAAGGCGACGAUCAGUAGGGGUUCUGAGAGGAAGGUCCCCCCANAUUGGAACUGAGACACGGUCCAAAACUCCUACGGGAGGCA
rnacentral:rRNA from 1 species